GAGCGGUGACGAACUUUGUGCGUUAUGCGGUGAUUUGGGUCUCCGCACUCGUCUGACCAAAGGCGAUUCAAUUGCACAUCUGAGCUC
rfam:Capsicum annuum cultivar Zunla-1 chromosome 7, whole genome shotgun sequence